rnacentral:rRNA from 1 species
UAUGACUAGUUGCCAGCAUUUAGUUGGGCACUCUAGUAAGACUGCCGGUGACAAACCGGAGGAAGGUGGGGAUGACGUCAAAUCAUCAUGCCCCUUAUGACCUGGGCUACACAUGUGCUACAAUGGAUGGUACAACGAGUUGCGAGACCGCGAGGUCAAGCUAAUCUCUUAAAGCCAUUCUCAGUUCGGACUGUAGGCUGCAACUCGCCUACACGAAGUCGGAAUCG